AGCUCAAUAAUCUAAACUUUAAAUUUUUAAUUUAAAGUCAUGUGAUUUUCUAAACCCACUGAACUGAAGCAUCUCAAUAAGUGGAGGAAAAUAAACUAACUAGGAUACUCUUAGUAAGUGCGACCGAAGAGAGUAAAGCUCAAUAAUCUAAACUUUAAAUUUUUAAUUUAAAGUCAUGUGAUUUUCUAAACUCAUUGAAAUUUUUAUAAAUUAUGAUUGAAUUCAUAACUAUAAAGAGUUAUAGUCUCGUUAUAUUGAAAUUUCAAGCAUGGGAAUUAGAAUUAAAGAGUCGGGUAGCUUGAGAAUGCUGCCUUAAUAUAGGUGGUACACCCCAUCUAAAGCUAAAUAUUGUAAAGAGACCGAUAGCAUACAAGUAGUGUGAACGAAAGAUGAAAAGAACUCCUAAACGGAGAAUUAAAAGCGCCUGAACUUGUCUAGGUUUUCGCAUUUCUUUAAUGCGCCCGUCUUGAAACACGGAUUAGGGAGUUUUACUUAAAUACGAGUCUUUAACUUUUAAAGUAAUUUUUUUAAAAAAGGCGAAAAGAAAUUAACUGGUUUUUUAACAUGGCUAUAGAGUAUUUAAGUCAAAACCCGAAUGGAGGUGAACUAUUCCUGCAAAGAUUGAAGUCAGGGGAAACUCUGAUGGAAGAUCGUUGGCGUUAUUGAUGUGCAAAUCAUUUGCUUUAUGUAGGUAUAGGUGCGAAAGACUCAUCGAACCUCCUAAUAGCUGGUUUCCUCCGAAGUUUCCCUCAGGAUAGCUGUAACAUUUUUAAAUAGUUAAGGAUAGUAGAGAAAUGGGUAGAGGUGUAGUGGAACUACGGUUCUGCAACUUAUUUCCAAACUUCGAACGUUCUUGAUAUAAAAAAUUACCUAACAGGAAUUUUUUAUUUAAAUAUAUGUUAUAAGUGGGCUCUGACCGGUAAGCGGUCAUGGCGAAAAGGGAUGAACCUAACGUAUAAAUAAGGUGCCUAAAUUUACUAACAAUGAAACCAUUAAAAGAGUCCAUGUAUUUAGACAGCGGGUCGGUGCCCCUAAAAGCAGGUAUCCGUUAAUGAGUGUGUUAAAACUCCCCCGCCGAAUACUCUGGCCUUGAAAAUGAAUGGCGCAUAUAGUAAUACCGAUAUUAUACAUUAAAAUUAUUUCAAAAUUUUAAAAGUAGGGGGAUGUGGAUAUCUUAGAGAAUUUUUAAUUGUAAAAUUGAAUUGAAAGAUAUCUAUUACAGAUCCUAAUUGAAGUAGCGAUUAUCCAGGUUAAUCUCCUGGGGGCUGAUGAGGAGUAGGGUUUCUGGGCAACUUAAACGGACCCAGAGUUAGUCGAUCCUAAUCAAAUUAAAUUUAGAGAAAGGGAAUAUGAAUGAUAUUUCAUAACUAAAAUUAAUUUUUAAAUGGUGACAUUUUUUUAAACUUAUUUCCAUCAAUUAAAUACUGUUUAAUAGGGAUUUCUUUCCUAUAUAACUUUUUAAUUAAAACUUAAGAAACAGGUUAACUGGAGAAUAAAGUUUUAAUUUAGUAAAAUUAUAAUUUCGAUUAUAAUAACGGCUAUUUAAAUGAUCCAUGAAACGAUAAGUUUAUUUUUUCAAAAAUUAAUUUAAUCGUACCGAUAACCGCAUCAGGUCUCCAAGGUGAGUAGCUUCUGGCCAUUGAGUAAUGGUAAUUUAGGGAAUUCGGCCAAUUAGAGCUGUAACUUCGGGAUAAAGCUUGGCUCUGAUGGAAAUCAGAACCGAUAGUUACAAGGAGAGCCCAACUGUUUAAUAAAAACUUAGUGUCGCGUCAUACCUUUAUAAGUAAUAAACGUGACAUGAAUCCUGCUCAGUGCUGUGUUUGUUAAACUGGAUUAAUCCAUUUAAGCGCCGGUAAAUAGCUGGGGUAACUAUGACUCUUAUCAAAGUAGCGAAAUACCUCGUCACUUAAUUAGUGACCUGCAUGAACGGAGCUAUGAGGUUCUCACUGUCCCAAAUUAUCACUCAGCGAACCAACAGUUGUGGGAACGGGCACAAAUUAUCCAGCGGGGAAAGAAGACCCUGUAGAGCUUCACUUUGGUCUAAUCUUGUAUAGUUUCGUUAGGGGUGCAGUCUAGGUGGGAGAUUUUUAAUCAAAUAUGAGAAACCACUACCCUUUCUGGAAUUAUACUUACUAAAAUUCUUUUCUAAAUUUUAGGAUCGGAUUAGAUAGAAAGUUUGGCUGGGGCGGCACACCUUCGAAAAAGCAGCGAAGGUGUCCUAAGUUAAGCUCAGUAAGGACAGAAAUCUUACGUUGAGGAUAAGGCCAAAAGCUUAAUUUACUGUGCCUUUUUGUACUAGGAUCAGUUUGGAAACAAAGGCCUAACGAUCCCUAAUUAGUCUUAGGUGUGUAAGACUUGGGGUGACAGACAAGUUACCUCCGGGACAACUGGCUUGUGGCUGCUAAGAGAUCAAAUCAACGCAGCUUUUUGAUUCU
rnacentral:rRNA from 1 species